rnacentral:rRNA from 1 species
UUCCGGUUGAUCCUGCCGGACCCGACUGCUAUCAGAGUGAGACUAAGCCAUGCGAGUCAACGUAUGAAUAGUACGUGGCAUACGGCUCAGUAACACGUAGUCAACAUGCCCAGAGGACGUGGAUAACCUCGGGAAACUGAGGAUAAACCGCGAUAGGUCAUAUUUACUGGAAUGUUUUAUGGCUCAAAUCUACAUGGCCUCUGGAUUGGACUGCGGCCGAUCAGGCUGUUGGUGAGGUAAUGGCCCACCAAACCUGUUACCGGUACGGGCUCUGAGAGGAGGAGCCCGGAGAUGGGCACUGAGACAAGGGCCCAGGUCCUAUGGGGCGCAGCAGGCGCGAAACCUCUGCAAUGGGCGAAAGCCUGACAGGGUUACUCUGAGUGAUUCCCGUUAAGGGAAUCUUUUGGCAUCUCUAAAAACGAUGCAGAAUAAGGGGUGGGCAAGUCUGGUGUCAGCCGCCGCGGUAAUACCAGCACCCCGAGUGGUCGGGACGAUUAUUGGGCCUAAAGCAUCCGUAGCCGGUCUUGCAAGUCUUCCGUUAAAUCCAGCUGCUUAACGGAUGGGCUGCGGAAGAUACUACAAGACUAGGAGGCGGAAGAGGCAAGCGGUACUCAGUGGGUAGGGGUAAAAUCCUCUGAUCCAUUGAAGACCACCAGUGGCGAAGGCGGCUUGCCAGAACGCGCUCGACGGUGAGGGAUGAAAGCUGGGGGAGCAAACCGAAUUAGAUACCCGGGUAGUCCCAGCUGUAAACGAUGCAGACUCGGUGAUGGGCCGGCUUCAUGCCGGCUCAGUGCCGCAGGGAAGCCGUUAAGUCUGCCGCCUGGGGAGUACGGUCGCAAGACUGAAACUUAAAGGAAUUGGCGGGGAGCACCACAAGG